AGGUAGGAGGAUGCGGCCUUGUGGGUGGUAGCUGGUAUGUUGGUGGAAACUCCAUGCUUCCAUGGAACCAGCUGUAGAGCAGUGGUGAUGCAAUGAGCAUCCUGGAAGUUUAGUUGUCAUUUGUCACCUUUUGGAUAAUGGAGUAGAUUUCUGAAGCUAUUUCUCCUUGUUUGGUGUUCUGCCUGCAAUUUGGACAAGUAGACUUCAGAUUAUGUCUUCACAGACUGAAAGGCUUGGGAAUAGCUUCCAGGGGUCCUAGCAAGGUGCAUCCCAGUGUCAAGAAUGUACUGCAUUCAGAGAAGUUCAAACUAUGGAUUCCCACCAGAGAAGUAUGAAGUGCUCUGAAGGCUGCCAACAAAAUGUCAAGUCAGUCCACUGACAAAAAGGAAGAGAAACCUUGGAAAAACAUUAUUGCUUGUGUUCCAUCUGAAUCUGAGCAGCUGACCUGAGGAAGGAGGCAGAUAAAUAGCAGAGAGUGAUUACACAUAACUUCUCACCAUGGAUUCCGGCAUUUGUGGGCAGCUGCCGAACAGUAGGUGGGAGGAUCUCCCAGAUUAUGAGGCCAGUUUUUCUGUGGCUCAGAGUGCGCCAGUGACUUGCUCAAGAUAAAACAGCCUGUUAGUGCAGGGAUGGAGCCCAGAAAUCCUGUUUCCUGUCCUCAGGAGUGUAUGUUCAAAAGAAGUUCUUGGCAAAGGUGAGAAUAAAUCAUAGGCUCUUUGAAGAGGACUCCAGUGUAUUAA